rnacentral:rRNA from 1 species
CUAAGGUAGCAUAAUCAUUUGUUAUUUAAUUGAUAACUGGAAUGAAAGGUUAAACUAGCUUAUUAAGUUUGUAAAAUUAUAUAAUAAUUUAAAGUUAAGGUAAGAAUUCUUUAAUAUCCUAGGGGACGAUAAGACCCUAGAAGCUUAACGAGUUGGGGGGUUUGUUUUAAAAAUUUAUUCGUUUUACUGGGGCGGUAAAAAUAAAUAAACUAUUUUGGAUUUAAAAGAUCCUUAAUAUAAAGAAAAAAUGGGUAAGUUACUCUAGGGAUAA